rnacentral:lncRNA from 1 species
UUUCUGGUUGGGAAAACUGUAACUCAGAAGAAUUUAGUAAUUCAUUUGAGAUCACUCAACAGUAGAAAGAUGUUUUCUCUCUCCUGAAAUAAGCCUUGACUCUAUUUGAUCUGCAGAGCCUUGGCAUGAAGAAUAUUUUAUGUUUCUUCUGUGAAGUAAAAAGGCAAGUCUUGUUGACUGAUGGUGAUUAACCAUAAUAAAGAUGCCUCAGUCAUAACAUGAACAUUGAAUAUAGGAUAUCAUCUGCUCAGAAGCAGACCCGAGUAAUCCAAAUGACAGACUGUGAUAUGAAGCUCAGUGAUGCCAGGCUUCUGUGUGAAGACUCAGAUGCUCAAAAAGUAACAGAGAAGCUCUAGAAAGGUUAUUUGUGCCUCCAUUAUGGAAACUUCUUCUGAGCUUAGGAGUAAUGUUAUGGGAGAAAUGCAAAUAAAGAGUGCCUGCU